UACGAAGGGGGCGAGCGUUGUUCGGAGUUACUGGGCGUAAAGGGCGCGUAGGCGGCCUUCUAAGUCGGACGUGAAAUCCCUCGGCUUAACCGAGGAACUGCGUCCGAUACUGAAAGGCUUGAAUCCGGGAGAGGGAUGUGGAAUUCCAGGUGUAGCGGUGAAAUGCGUAGAUAUCUGGAGGAACACCGGUGGCGAAGGCGGCAUCCUGGACCGGCAUUGACGCUGAGGCGCGAAAGCUAGGGGAGCAAACGGG
rnacentral:rRNA from 1 species